AAUGUUCAGACAUUGCCUUUUACACUUACUUUCACUGCAAUUUAUAAUCCUUUUAGAGCACAAGACUGCUGACGUAGAAUUGGAAGAUGAAAGUCAGUCUGUUCUUCAUGAAACUCUCCAUUCCCAGCCUGGAGAGAGGCACGAAGAUGUAGAUGAAAGUAUAAGUGACCAGUGGCAAGUGAAGGAAGAAAUACAUGGAGAAACUUUUGAAGCUCCUACAACAGAUGACAUGCACAGAGGAUUAGAGAAUGAAAUGCCAGAAGCAUAUGAGACACCAGACUCAAUUCAGAAAGAUGCUGAUCUUUUGGCAGAUGGUCUUGAAGCAGUGGAGUCUGAGCCCUAUGAAGUUCCAGCUUCAGAUGAUUAUGUUGUAUCUAUGGAGGGAAGAGUAAAUGAUCCAGAAGCUCCAGGUGACUCUGAGGUAGUACUAGAAGAUGCUAUGGAACAUUACACAGAACCCAAACAUGAAAAGCAGACUGAGACUCAAGACACAGAUAAAGUUACUGAAGAUUUUGAUGUUGCUAAAGAUGUUUCAGGUACGAGUUUUUAUAGUUUGUGAAAGAAAAAAUUUAUAUUAAUAUAAUUAAAAAACAAGCAAAUGAAAAACAAAGCAGAUAAA
rnacentral:lncRNA from 1 species